GAGCCUGACAAUCAAUACUCAAUUCUCAGUUUUUCAACCCAAAAACAAACGCUGGAAAAUUUACAGUUUAUGGAUCAGAUUAGCACCCCUAAAUGUAGUACCAGAGUAUAGAAUCAAGCUCAAACUAUAACACCGAUAGAUUUAACAUCUAAU